rnacentral:rRNA from 1 species
GCGGGCCAGGAUAGCGAUUAUACCGUGAAACUGCGAAUGGCUCAUUAAAUCAGUUAUCGUUUAUUUGAUAAUACCUUACUACUUGGAUAACCGUGGUAAUUCUAGAGCUAAUACAUGCUAAAAAUCCCGACUUCGGAAGGGAUGUGUUUAUUAGAUAAAAAACCAAUGCCCUUCGGGGCUUCUUGGUGAUUCAUGAUAACUUUACGGAUCGCAUAGCCUUGCGCUGGCGACGGUUCAUUCAAAUUUCUGCCCUAUCAACUUUCGAUGGUAAGGUAUUGGCUUACCAUGGUUUCAACGGGUAACGGGGAAUUAGGGUUCGAUUCCGGAGAGGGAGCCUGAGAAACGGCUACCACAUCCAAGGAAGGCAGCAGGCGCGCAAAUUACCCAAUCCCGACACGGGGAGGUAGUGACAAUAAAUACUGAUACAGGGCUCUUUUGGGUCUUGUAAUUGGAAUGAGUACAAUUUAAACCUCUUAACGAGGAACAAUUGGAGGGCAAGUCUGGUGCCAGCAGCCGCGGUAAUUCCAGCUCCAAUAGCGUAUAUUAAAGUUGUUGCAGUUAAAAAGCUCGUAGUUGAAACUUGGGCCUGGCUGGCGGGUCCGCCUCACCGCGUGCACUCGUCCGGCCGGGCCUUCCUUCUGAAGAACCUCAUGCCCUUCACUGGGCGUGUUGGGGAAUCAGGACUUUUACUUUGAAAAAAUUAGAGUGUUCAAAGCAGGCCUUUGCUCGAAUACGUUAGCAUGGAAUAAUAAAAUAGGGCGUGCGUUUCUAUUUUGUUGGUUUCUAGAGACGCCGCAAUGAUUAACAGGAACAGUCGGGGGCAUCAGUAUUCAGUUGUCAGAGGUGAAAUUCUUGGAUUUACUGAAGACUAACUACUGCGAAAGCAUUUGCCAAGGAUGUUUUCAUUAAUCAGUGAACGAAAGUCAGGGGAUCGAAGACGAUCAGAUACCGUCGUAGUCUUGACCGUAAACUAUGCCGACUAGGGAUCGGGCGAUGU